ACGUCCCGCCCCCGAAAGACCUGCGCCCGCCCUGGCCCCGCCCGGUUCACCAAAGUCAGCAACCCACUAGGGAAGAGUGGGAGCCACUAUCCAGGACGGGAAACUGAGGCUCAGAUGGCCACACCACACGGGGGUGAGAGUGGGAUGUGGUACCUAACCACUGCCCUUCCCACCUCCGUGCCAGGUGCGUUAUUUCCCCAUUCUACAGACGGGGAAACCGAGGCUUAGCACCAGGAAGGGACUUUGGUUCAAAAUCUGUCGCCACGCUCAUCCCUGCUCCACCCAGGACUGCCCGUGCCCCAGCCUGGGGACACUGCCCAUUGAUGUCGGAAACAGCAGUACCGCCCAGCUCCAGGUCUACCUAGACCAACCCAUCUGAGCGUGCUGUAACGUUGGUGCACCACGGGGAGACUGAGGCGGGUCAUGUCUGAUAGGAACCUACUGGGUAGAUCUCCUGCCUUCCAGUGGGGGCAGGAAUUAAACCCCGUCAGACAAAUAAAAAUUCCAAAUGCCAGCCAACAGCGUCGAUCCAAUUUGGAGAUGAGUGUCCAGAGCCGUGUGCCUGGGUUCCGGCCAACAAGGCCACCAUGUCCAGUCACCGGGCCAGGCAGCUGAGGACACAGAGGGUCCCAGGUUGCAGGACCGUGCCCUGACCCAAGGUCACCACUGUCCUGCCCGGAGCCUCUGGCACCAGGAGCCCACCCCUGCCCCAGUCCUGCCUGAGGCCGGCAUGCGGAGUCCACAGGGACGCCCCCCCUCCCACCGAGGCCCUUCCCAGCCUGCGGUGAGGUCCCUCCGGCAGCGCGACUCCUCAGGAGGAGGGACUCACCGUGGGGGAGGGGGGGCGUUCCUCACCCCACCCAGCUCCCAGCAGGUGCUCGCCAGCCACUGCCACCUUGGCCCCCCGGGGGCCCGGCGACCCUGCCCGUUUCCGCGCCGCCCCCACCGUCAGAAGCGGGGACCUAGCACUGCCACCUGGCACCCGCGUGCGGGGGGGGGGCUCCCUGAGUGCCGUGCCGCCGUUUCCCCAGGAGGACGAGCGGAGAACAGCUCCGUCCCCCAGGCGCCGCGCAGAUCGAGCAAGGGAACACUCAGGUGUCCUGAUUGUGGUAAAACGCGUAAUAAACUCUAACACUUUA